GACGAACGCUAGCGGCAGGCCUAAUACAUGCAAGUCGAACGAGAUUACGAGGCUUGCUUCUUAUGCAAGUGGCGCACGGGUGCGUAACGCAUAUGCAACCUACCUUAAUCAGGGUGAUAGCACGUAGAAAUUCGGAUUAAGACCGCAUAAAAACACACGAUCGCCUUAUCCAAUGUUCGAAUAUUUAUAGGAUUAAGAUGGGCAUGCGUGUCAUUAGCUAGUUGGCUGGGUAACGGCCCACCAAGGCGACGAUGACCAGGGGAUCUGAGAGGAUGACCCCCCAGAGGGGUACUGGGACACGUACCAGACACCUACGGGAGGCAGCAGUAAGGAAGAUUGGUGAAGGGAAGGAAGUCUGAUCCGGCGAUGCCGCGUGCAGGAAGACAGCCCUCGGGGUCGUAAACUGCUUUUAUUCGGGAAUAAUCGUUUCUGCGUGUAGGAAGCUGAAGGUACCGAAGGAAGAAGGAUCGGCUAACUCCGUG
rnacentral:rRNA from 1 species